AUUGAACGCUGGCGGCAUGCUUUACACAUGCAAGUCGAACGGUAACAGGCCGCAAGGUGCUGACGAGUGGCGAACGGGUGAGUAAUGCAUCGGAACGUGCCCAGUCGUGGGGGAUAACGCAGCGAAAGCUGCGCUAAUACCGCAUACGAUCUAUGGAUGAAGGCGGGGGACCGUAAGGCCUCGCGCGAUUGGAGCGGCCGAUGUCAGAUUAGGUAGUUGGUGGGGUAAAGGCUCAACAAGCCGACGAUCUGUAGCUGGUCUGAGAGGACGACCCGCCACAUUUGGACUGAGACACGGCCCAGACGCCUACGGGAGGCAGCAGUGGGGAAGUUUGGACAAUGGGCGCAAGCCUGAUCCAGCAAUGCCACGUGCAGGAAGAAGGCCUUCGGGUUGUAAACUGCUUUUGUACGGAACGAAAAGGCUCUGGUUAAUACCUGGGGCUCAUGACGGUACCGUAAGAAUAAGCACCGGCUAACUACGUGCCAGCCGCCGCAGUAA
rnacentral:rRNA from 1 species